AUCCCAGUGCACGGGCUUUACGCGUCACAAUGAGGAGCAAUCCGAGUGCGUGUUUUUGCUAGUUGAAAACUAUACUAUGACCACUCCUAUUUGGCUUCGGCUGGGUAGGGAAUUUUUGUCAAUUUAAUCCCAAG
rfam:Rosellinia necatrix DNA, scaffold: Contig63, strain: W97.